CAAAAAUAAAUAUACAAUAUAAUAAGCUAGAAAAAAAAUAUUUUAAUUACUAGUUUCCAAUUGGACCAAUUUUUCAUGAAACUCUAUCUCUUCAAUACUCGCUCCAUAUAAUCAGUCUCCCAGAAGUGUAGAACGUAGCCAGUUUUGUGUACAAAUUAAAGUUUCGACUGUUUUAGGUGUUAAAGAACUCCUAAAUGAAUCAAAAACAUGCCCUUCAGUACUAAACGCUGACUUUGAAGCAACUGUAGAAACUAGAAUUGUAAGAACAUCCCUUGCAAUCUCGGACAAAAUUGCAUAUCUUGGACAAUUUAACUUCCACCAAGUCAAAAUAUCAAAUCUGUGAUUAGUAGAGUCUUCAAUAGAUUCCAUUAGGUAUCUCUGAAUCUCGUCUUUUCCUAGCAAAUCAUUAUUGUUACUUUUUAAAUUUUUGUACCCAAAAUCAAAAUUAUUGGACUCAUCCCAAUCAUCAUCUGUAGAAACCUCCAUUAAAAUGUUAAAAUCACAAUUACCACCACAUUCGUCAUAGGAUGCACUAUUCCAUCCCUUAUACUGAUUAUACAACUCAUAUAAUAAACUCUUGGUUUCAUCUUUUGUUGUUUCAACCAAGUUAUUAUCAUACAAGCGACCAAUACAAUAGCCGACAAACUCCAACUUGUAUCGAGGAUCGAGCACAAUAGCUAUUAUCAAUAAUUUGUUCAUUUUCUUGACACUGCCCCAAUACUUAUCAAAUUUACUCUUCAUGUUUUUGCCAUAUCACUUAAUAAAGGAUCUUGCCUAUCGCUCAACGAUUUCAACAAUUGUUGAAUAUUACAAACUUCUUUAAAGUAUAAAUUCGAGGUGACACUCAAAGAUGCACUAAACUUUAAAGUAAUUUCAUAAAAGGUUUUCAAAAACUUAACAAACUUCCGACCUUUUUCCCAAUCAUCGCUUGUAGGUGGACCUUCUCUUUCCUUUCCAUUCUCACGCUCAUCAAAAUAUUUGCAAUAAAAACCAUCUUCCGCUGCCAUACGAUCAAAUGCUUUCUCAAAAUUAAGCGCACUAUCCAACAUCAAGUAUGUUGCAUUCCACCUUGUACGUACAUCUAACAUAGCCAAUUUUAUGGAUUCAAUUUUCUCUCUUUCUACACAAAUCUUGAAUUUUGCUAAUCUCGAAGGUGAUGAUCGAAAAUACUUCACCGCAUUUCCAAUACUUGCUAUUGCCAUGUGAAACUCUUUCAACCCAUCAUUUACAAUUAAAUUCACUAUAUGUGCACAACACCUUAUAUGCAUAAGCCAACCACCCAAGACCAUCCCAUCAACCUUCCAAUUCUUUAAUACCUUUUUCCUAUACAUAAUAGCCCCAUCAUUUGCACUUGCAUUAAGAAUCAUAAUUGUUGACACAUGUUCUAUUCCCCAAUCAAACAAACAUGUUUCAAUAAGUUUUCCAAUUGUUUCCCCUCUAUGGUUUGGUACCACCAAAAAAUUCAAUAUCCUCUUAUACAACACCCAAUUUUUGUCAAUAAAAUGGAUAGUGAUAACCAUGUAACUAAUAUUUUAUAUUGAUGUCCAGAAAUCUGUCGUAAGGCACACCCUUUGUUUAUUAGACAUAAGUUUACCUUUCAAUAAUUCCUUCUCCUCAUUAUAAAGUUUCAAUAUAUCCCUAGUAACUAUUCUACGGGAUGGAAUAUCAAAUUUAGGGCAAGCACGUCCCAUGAAAUUUCUAAACCCAACACCAUCAACAAAGCUAAACGGUAAUUCAUCCACAAUAAUCAUUUUCACCAUUGACUUCCUACAUGCUUCUUUGUUAAACACCCUAGCAGCAAUAUUGGCAUUACCACCAUCAUUAUCAAUUAAUUGUCUAAUUAGAACUUUUUGUCUUUCAUCCACUCUGGUACUCUUAUAUAGUUAACAGUUUCUAAAGUGUUUCCACAAGCUAGAAGUACCAAUCUUAUUGGAAUCACAAGCAUAAGACUUUCCACAGUAAUUACAUUCCCCCCCCCCCCCGGUAUCUUAGUAAAAUGUGACCAUAUUUAUGAUCUCAUAUUCGGGAUUUUUUUUUCUCUUUCGACCAUCUCGAUAUUCAUCUACAACAUACAAAUAACAUAAAAUAAAAAAUCAUGGCAUUACAACUGUCAACAUUAACUUUAAUCCAGAAAUGUAUAUAAUUAAUCCAAAAAUGUAUAUAAGAGACUUCAUCAGUCAUACGGGUAGUAUAGAUUAAACUUAAACCUCAAAUGUCACAAAAGCUAAAUGGACAAAUUGAGGCAUGCUUGGUACAUUGUUCUCAACGCAAGUGGACACUACGAGUGAUAGCUUAUAGCUUUUGUUUCUGCUUAAUUCUGUCUAACGAUGCAUACUUUAAAAAACAAGCUGUGAAUGUUUCUGACUCCCAGUGCAGAACUUGGUAAAUGGAACUUCUUUUAAAAAAUUCAAGGUUCAAACACAACCAAGAGUUUAAAAUGAACAAGAGAGUAUUUUUCCCCAACAAAUCAAUGCCUCAAGCAAAACAUCAACCAUGUAAUAAAAUUGAAAAAUAAAAUAAUAGUUUCGCACCUUUAAUCCAGUAAUUGGAGACCCAACAAGCCAACAAUCAAUAAUUGAACUCCAAUCCCCACAAAUAAGAAUUAAAAAAAAAAAAAAAAAUUUGUAAAGAACAAACUGUAAAAAUUGCAGAUCUAGUGGGAAUGAGGUAUUAUGCAAAAAAAUACAAUGAUACCUGAUUAUCUUCAAAAAUUUUGACGAACGGCUGACUUUGAAGAAACAAUAAAAUUGAUUUUUCCUGAUGAUUGAAGAGCAGUAGAAUAUUUUCUAGGGUUUGCAUCUUGGUAUAAAAUUCUAUAGUAUUCAUAAAGUUAUUUAAGUAUAGAUUUCAAUUACCCAUGGAUUGAGAAGGAAAGAAUGAAGAGAAAAGGAAAUAGGAAGAGUUAAAAGGUAAAACGAAA
rnacentral:lncRNA from 1 species